GACACCAAUCUGUUAAAGAGAAGGGAAAAAGAGGGGGGAAGAUCUCACUUAACGUUACAGAAUUUGCUACAUUUAUUUCCACUUUUCUUUUUCUUUCUUUCUUUUCAUGCUUGAGUUAUAUGGAAUAGAAGGUUAAUUUCUUAGGAUGUGUUUUCCUUUACUUCCCCUUUCAUUUCAUUGUAAUUCCAUCAAUAUUAAACAAAGGAAAGCUCCUUUUGAAAGCCUCCAAUGCGAAAGACAAACCCAAGGUCUUCAUUUUUGGCUCUGUACUCUCUCUCUCUCUCUCUCUCUCUCUCUCUUCUCCACAAUAGUUUGUCUGGAACAACCAAGCUUCAGAAAUCACUGGUUUCUAGCCUCAUUUCUGUUUCCAACUGGGAUUUGGAUUUGGUUUUCUUUUCAGUUUUCUAUUCCUUCCUUGUUGGCCUAUUGGGUUGAUUUUGCGUCAUCUUUGUAUUAAGUAUGUUCUAUGGUGACUCUGCAGUAGUUGAGGAAUUAGAGUAGAAACAAACUACCUUUCCUAAACAUUAUUCCUACUGUUGGAUAGAGAAUCUACUAAACAGAGACUGUCAAUGUUUGGGAAAUUGGUAAAAUCAGUUUAAGCUAUUGGAAGGUUAGGUCAUUCAAAUAUGUUAAAAAGUCCUCUUUUUUUCCCUAAAUUUUGUUUUGUUCAAUUCACUAUUUCCUUUUCUGAUGUUCAAGUAAUGAUGCUCUCCUCAUCUCUUUUUGGAGUUAAGUUCUCAAUAUGCUGUGUUUUGUGCAGAAGGUGAGGAGGUAUUCCAAGUAGAGUGGAGCCCUAACCAUGAAAAUGUAUUGGUAUCAUAUGCUAGUGACAGAAAGAUAAUGGUCUGGGACCUUGGCAGGAUUGUUGCUGAGCAGACGGAAGCAGCAGCAGAGGAUGUGCCUUCUGAACUUCUCCUCUCUCAUGGGGGCCAAACUGCCAAGGUAAUCAGAUUUUUCAUGGAAUGAAAAUGAACCAUGGGUCAAUCUAAAGUGUGGCUGAGAACAAUUUCCUCCAGAUCUGGCAGAUGACAGAGAGCAUUUAUUAUGAAGAUUAUGAAAUGCAAGUUGAUGAAUAGGUUGCAGAAACAAUAUGCAUGUGCAUGAAACUAGUAGGCAUUUCUCCCCAUUAGAAUAGUAAGACAUGAGGUGGGGCUUAACAGAAGGUUUCCAACAUUCCAUGUCUGCAGUCUUUUGUGAUCAUUCUUCCCCAAAAGAAGCAAUGGAUGAAGUGGGCCUUAAAUAAAUAUUUCCAA